GGCAAUAUAUUAGCAUAAAGACUCGUCUUUAGCGCUAAUUGUUAAAUAUGCUAGUCCUUUCAUGAUUAUGUGAUAGGUGGUGCAUGGCCGUUCUUAGUUCGUGGAGUGAUCUGUCUGCUUAAUUGCGUUUCACUAAGGGCCCAUAAAUUCAAGGUAUGUUAGCAAAUGCUGCUCUAUUGACCCCUAAUAGGCUUAACUGUCUUUAGCGCGUGUCUCUACGAGUUCUUUAAAGCACUGCGCAUGCUGUUGGGUCCUGAAAGCAACGAACGUGACCGCAACGUCUUGUUGCCUCUCUAUAAUACCUUCUUAUUUUUAAUAAGAGUAUUUACCUGAGGCUAUUUUAAAACUANACGGACCGCUGUUUCUUUCUUAAACCANAGGAAGGUUGCGGCAAUAACAGGUCUGUGAUGCCCUUAGAUGUUCCGGGCUGCACACGUGCUACAAUGAUCAGUACAGUGAGCAUCUCAAUUUUAUAACACCGUAUUAAGCGCUUGGGUCGUAAUUGUUAGGCCUUUUGGGUUUUUUCAAUUGCGUUUCUCCAAUGCGCACGGUAAAGCCUGCUUCGAGAGUAAGUGGGUAAUCCAUUGGAAGUAAUGAUUUCCUUAUUUUUAUAAACAGCACACCAAUAUACGGCAUUCAUUCCCGAGACGGCUUAGUUCCGACUUUGUGCGAAUGUAAUGUAUUCUUAUCCGUAUGUGCGAUUGUCAAUUCAUGGUGGGGACAGACCAUUGUUAAUUGUUGGUCUCGGUCUUAACUAGGAAUGCCUUGUACGGGUCUUUGGUUCAACAAACCACCCGGAAUACGUCA
rnacentral:rRNA from 1 species